rnacentral:rRNA from 1 species
ACUCAAAGGAAUUGACGGGGGCCCGCACAAGCGGUGGAGCAUGUGGUUUAAUUCGACGCAACGCGCAGAACCUUACCCAGACUUGACAUCCUUGGAAUCCUGCAGAGAUGUGGGAGUGCCCGCAAGGGAACCAGGAGACAGGUGCUGCAUGGCUGUCGUCAGCUCGUGUCGUGAGAUGUUGGGUUAAGUCCCGCAACGAGCGCAACCCUCGCCUUUAGUUGCCAUCAUUCAGUUGGGCACUCUAGAGGGACUGCCGGUGUCAAGCCGGAGGAAGGUGGGGAUGACGUCAAGUCCUCAUGGCCUUUAUGUCUGGGGCUACACACGUGCUACAAUGGCGGAUACAGAGGGAUGCCAAGCCGCGAGGUGGAGCUAAUCCCAGAAAGUCCGUCCCAGUUCGGAUCGGAGUCUGCAACUCGACUUCGUGAAGUCGGAAUCGCUAGUAAUCGCGGAUCAGCACGCCGCGGUGAAUACGUUCCCGGGCCUUGCACACACCGCCCGU